rnacentral:lncRNA from 1 species
CGAGUAGCAGUACCAUCUCAAGUCAAAGGACUAGUUAUGCAACUACAGCAUCGAGACAAUCACUGAUGAUCAAUCAGAAACCUAAGUGAUCUCUUGUAUGAUCACGGUCAGUACUAGCUGUUCUCUAACAACUACCCACACUCAUCAUCCUGUAUCUCUAUACAGUAAACCAGAGACUCAUCUAUCCUCAAAGAAGUGAUUUGUGCACUAGUCUAUCCAGAUC